AUUGAACGCUGGCGGCAGGCCUAACACAUGCAAGUCGCUCGAGUGGCGGAUGGGUGAGUAAUGUCUGGUAUACUGCCUCAUGGUGGGGGAUAACUACUGGAAACGGUAGCUAAUACCGCAUACCAUCGGAUGUGCCCAGAUGGGAUUAGCUAGUAGGUGGGGUAACGGCUCACCUAGGCGACGAUCCCUAGCUGGUCUGAGAGGAGGACCAGCAACACGGGAACGAAGAAACGGUCCAGACUCCUACGGGAGGCAGCAGUGGGGAAUAUUGCACAAGGGGCGAAAGCCUGAUGCAGCCAUGCCGCGUGUAUGAAGAAGGCCUUCGGGUUGUAAAGUACUUUCAGCGGGGAGGCGUUACCCGCAGAAGAAGCACCGGCUAACUCCGAGCCAGCAGCCGCGGUAAUAC
rnacentral:rRNA from 1 species